rnacentral:rRNA from 1 species
UACGAAGGGAGCUAGCGUUGUUCGGAAUCACUGGGCGUAAAGCGCACGUAGGCGGAUGUGUCAGUCAGGGGUGAAAUCCCGGAGCUCAACUUCGGAACUGCCUCUGAUACAGCACGUCUUGAGUCCGAUAGAGGUGGGUGGAAUUCCUAGUGUAGAGGUGAAAUUCGUAGAUAUUAGGAAGAACACCGGUGGCCGAAGGCGGCUCUCUGGAACGGUACUGACGCUGAGACGCGAAAGCGUGGGGAGCAAACAGGG